rnacentral:rRNA from 1 species
UACAGAGGGUGCUAGCGUUGUUCGGAAUCAUUGGGCGUAAAGGGCGUGUAGGCGGUUUGUUAAGUCAUGUGUGAAAUCCCUCGGCUCAACCGGGGAAGGACGCAUGAAACUGGCAAGCUAGAGUACCAAAGAGGGGGGUGGAAUUCCCGGUGUAGCGGUGAAAUGCGUAGAUAUCUGGAGGAACACCGGUGGCGAAGGCGGCAUCCUGGACCAAUUCUGACGCUGAGGAGCGAAAGCCAGGGGAGCAAACGGG